GGGUCUGACUGCUUAUUGCACCACAUGUGUUUUUCUUUGAAACAAACUUGCUUUGGCGGUGGGCCCAGCCUGCCGCCAGAGGUCUAAACUUACAACCAAUUUUUUAUCAACUUGUCACACCAGAUUAUUACUUAAUAGUCAAAACUUUCAACAACGGAUCUCUUGGUUCUCGCAUCGAUGAAGAACGCAGCGAAAUGCGAUACGUAAUAUGAAUUGCAGAUAUUCGUGAAUCAUCGAAUCUUUGAACGCACAUUGCGCCCUCUGGUAUUCCGGAGGGCAUGCCUGUUUGAGCGUCGUUUCUCCCUCAAACCGCUGGGUUUGGUGUUGAGCAAUACGACUUGGGUUUGCUUGAAAGACGGUAGUGGUAAGGCGGGAUCGCUUUGACAAUGGCUUAGGUCUAACCAAAAACAUUGCUUGCGGCGGUAACGUCCACCACGUAUAUCUUCAAACUUUGACCUCAAAUCAGGUAGGACUACCCGCUGAACUUAAGCAUAUCAAAAGCCGGAGGAA
rnacentral:rRNA from 1 species